rnacentral:rRNA from 1 species
AUGGCCUCCUCCAGCUCCUCCAACCCAACCCUCUCCGGCCAGAUCACCGAGCGCCUCACCCGCAUCAACUAUAUCCUUUGGCGCACUCAGAUCGCGCCGCAGCUUCGAGGUGCUGGUUUCUUCGGGUAUGUCGAUGGGAGCAUGCCUGUACCGGCCAAAGUCGUCGUCACCGAGGAGAAGGAUGGCAAGGAGGAGUCCAUCCCCAAUCCUCUUCACCAUGUGUGGAUCUGAGAGGAUCCGCAAGUACUGGGAUAUCUCCGGAAUAACCUCUCCAAGGAAGUGCUCGUGCAGGUCACCUCAAUCGUCCAUGCACACGAGCUCUGGUCGGCGCUGGCGAGGAUGUUCUCGUCGACCUCGCUGUCCCGCGUCAACAACAUUCCGGCGGCGCUCACCAACGCGCAGAAGGGCACACAAUCUGUGGCCACUUUCUUCGCGCAUAUGCGAUCUCUCGCUGACGAGCUUGCGGCGGCCAGCAAGCCCCUGCAAGACGACGAGCUCAUCUCCUACAUCCUCAAUGCCCUGGACAUGGAGUACUAG